rnacentral:rRNA from 1 species
UACGGAGGGUGCAAGCGUUAUCCGGAUUUACUGGGCUUAAAGGGUGCGCAGGCGGUUAUGUAAGUCAGUGGUGAAAUCUCUGGGCUUAACCCGGAAAUUGCCAUUGAUACUAUAUAUCUUGAAUGCUGUGGAGGUAAGCGGAAUAUGUCAUGUAGCGGUGAAAUGCUUAGAUAUGACAUAGAACACCUAUUGCGAAGGCAGCUUACUACGCAGAUAUUGACGCUCAUGCACGAAAGCGUGGGGAUCAAACAGG